UCCUCAGUGGUCCAGUGGUCAGGAUCGCCGCCUCUCAUUGUUCAGGUUCGCCUGUCUUUAGUCCGCGGCUGGCCGGGGUUCGAUUCCCCGCUGGGGAA